ensembl:misc_RNA Metazoa_SRP Metazoan signal recognition particle RNA
ACCAAGUGAGGUGGUGCAUGCCUGUAAUUCUUGCUACUGAAGGAUGAUGAGGCUGGUGGAUUGUUUGAGUUCAGGAAUUCUGACCUGCAGUGGGGUUAAAGCCAAUUAGGUAUCCACAUUAAAUCUGGCAUCAAUAUGGUGAGUCCCUGGGAAAGGGGGGCCACCAGGCUGUCAAAAGAGGGAAGAAUUGGCCCAGGUUAGAAAUGGAACAGUUCAAAGUUUCCAUGUUGAUCAGCGGUAGGAUAGAGCCUAUGAAUGGCUGCUUCAUUUUCAGCAGAAAAUUGAUAAUUCAGAUUUUU